AUACGUAGGUGGCAAGCGUUAUCCGGAAUUAUUGGGCGUAAAGAGGGAGCAGGCGGCAGCAAGGGUCUGUGGUGAAAGCCUGAAGCUUAACUUCAGUAAGCCAUAGAAACCAGGCAGCUAGAGUGCAGGAGAGGAUCGUGGAAUUCCAUGUGUAGCGGUGAAAUGCGUAGGUAUAUGGAGGAACACCAGUGGCGAAGGCGACGAUCUGGCCUGCAACUGACGCUCAGUCCCGAAAGCGUGGGGAGCAAAUAGGAUUAGAUACCCUAGUAGUCCACGCCGUAAACGAUGAGUACUAAGUGUUGGAUGUCAAAGUUCAGUGCUGCAGUUAACGCAAUAAGUACUCCGCCUGAGUAGUACGUUCGCAAGAAUGAAACUCAAAGGAAUUGACGGGG
rnacentral:rRNA from 1 species